CGAAAUCACCUUGGUCGGGUGGACUGAAGUAGCUUUGAUUUUCAAGCAAACCAGGAUAAACUUAUUGUGUUGUUUACAUUUACUUUCGUGUGUGUGGUGUUGAAAAAGUUUUUAAUUUUUGUGAAAACAAUUCAAAUCCCCUUUCUUGUUAUGCAAGUGGAUGAAUAAGAGUUGUUGUUAAUGAAGAUAAAAAUUUUGUUGGGUGUGG
rnacentral:lncRNA from 1 species